CACGUAGGGCGCAAGCGUUGUCCGGAAUUAUUGGGCGUAAAGCGCUCGUAGGCGGUCUGUUGCGUCCGCUGUGAAAACCCGGGGCUUAACCCCUGGCUUGCAGUGGAUACGGACAGACUAGAGGUAGGUAGGGGAGAAUGGAAUUCCCGGUGUAGCGGUGAAAUGCGCAGAUAUCGGGAGGAACACCGGUGGCGAAGGCGGUUCUCUGGGCCGUACCUGACGCUGAGGAGCGAAAGCGUGGGGAGCGAACAGG
rnacentral:rRNA from 1 species